rnacentral:rRNA from 1 species
AUUGAACGCUGGCGGCAGGCCUAACACAUGCAAGUCGAGCGGAUGAAGGGAGCUUGCUCCUGGAUUCAGCGGCGGACGGGUGAGUAAUGCCUAGGAAUCUGCCUGGUAGUGGGGGAUAACGUCCGGAAACGGGCGCUAAUACCGCAUACGUCCUGAGGGAGAAAGUGGGGGAUCUUCGGACCUCACGCUAUCAGAUGAGCCUAGGUCGGAUUAGCUAGUUGGUGGGGUAAAGGCCUACCAAGGCGACGAUCCGUAACUGGUCUGAGAGGAUGAUCAGUCACACUGGAACUGAGACACGGUCCGGACUCCUACGGGAGGCAGCAGUGGGGAAUAUUGGACAAUGGGCGAAAGCCUGAUCCAGCCAUGCCGCGUGUGUGAAGAAGGUCUUCGGAUUGUAAAGCACUUUAAGUUGGGAGGAAGGGCAGUAAGUUAAUACCUUGCUGUUUUGACGUUACCAACAGAAUAAGCACCGGCUAACUUCGCG